GGUGGGCUACUAAAAUUUUUGGGAGCAAUUAUUUUUUUUUCUUAUUUUUUUCUUUAACUCUCUCCCUCAGAAAUCCCUCUUCUCCUUUUAAAAUCCUAGAAAUCAUUUGUGUGUCUGGUAUCUCUAAUCUCUCAUUGCUCCUCAUGCAUUCUUGACUAUGUAUGUCCGAACAAUCAGCCUUUGAGACGAACCAUUUCACAGUCUCUGACCUCUUGUCUUUCCCCCUCCCUCUCUCCUUUCUAAGCUGCUGGAUUUGGACAAUAAUUUCUCCUUUCUAUUGUAUUUUCUGACUUUUGGGUGUGAUUUUGAGUUGCUGCUCUGUUAGACAAAGGCAAGUUAUUGAAGGUGGCAGUGCUUAACAUCAGCUUUGGAGCCCCUGGAAGGAAAGUGUGGCAAGGGAAAAUGUGGUUUUGCUACAGGCCAAGGAACAUACGCGUCAUAUAUACAAAGGCCAUGUCUUUUGCAGCAUCAUUUGCUGCCAUGGUACAAGGUCUUUGUUCUCUUUGAAACAAGCAUAUAGGAGCUAUCUAGGCUAGGAACAAGCUCUCUAUGCUCGAUUCAUUUAUGGUAAAUUAAUUUUAUAUGUGAUGCUUUUGCUUGAUUCAAUUGAGGCAUAUUGGUUGGUUGUCUUCAGUGUUUCUAUGUUUUGGCAUGGGGACUUAUUCAUCCAUGGUGCAACUUUAUAACAAUUUUGGAUGUUAGUGAUCAUUGAGCCAGUGUCUCUUCGCACAUUAAGAGAAAGAUAAGGAGGAAUGAAAAAAGUUACAAGUGGAAAAUGGUCAAUUGCCCUCGUCAGACUUCAUUGGUAGAGUGCGGCUUUUAUAUCAUAAGGAUGAUGAAAGAGUAUUGCUUGCAUGAGGCACCAAUCUGAUGGCUAACUACUAAUUGUGGUGGGAAGAACACAUAUAACUGUGAGGAAAUCAAUGAAACUCGAAAUGAAUGGGCAGCUAUGCUCUUUGAGCAGAUGAGCCAAAGCUAGGGUAAUUUUUGAAAUCAGAAUUAAAAAAUAAACUAAUUAUAGUUAAGGCAUGCACUUACAUAGUUAAGGCAAGGAUGCUUACAUAGUUAUGACCAGGAUGUAUUUACAUAGUGAAGGCAAGAAUUAUACAUUUUGAUCUUGUAACUUAGUUUUAUAAUAUACUAAAUUCUGUUGAAUUUGUAUA